rnacentral:misc_RNA from 1 species
UCGCGGCUUAUCACCGGCAGUCUCCUUAGAGUGCUCAACUAAAUGGUAGCAACUAAGGACGGGGGUUGCGCUCGUUGCGGGACUUAACCCAACAUCUCACGACACGAGCUGACGACAGCCAUGCACCACCUGUGAAGGUGUCCCGAAGGAAAACCGUGUUUCCACGGCUGUCACCUACAUGUCAAACCCAGGUAAGGUUCUUCGCGUUGCGUCGAAUUAAACCACAUGCUCCGCUGCUUGUGCGGGCCCCCGCCUAUUCCUUUGAGUUUUAACCUUGCGGCCGUAGUCCCCAGGCGGUGAACUUAAUGCGUUAGCUGCGGCACUGAUCGGGUCAAUCCGACCAACACCUAGUUCACAACGUUUACGGCGUGGACUAC